rnacentral:rRNA from 1 species
UGGCGGCGUGCUAAUACAUGCAAGUCGAGCGGACAGAUGGGAGCUUGCUCCCUGAUGUUAGCGGCGGACGGGUGAGUAACACGUGGGUAACCUGCCUGUAAGACUGGGAUAACUCCGGGAAACCGGGGCUAAUACCGGAUGGUUGUUUGAACCGCAUGGUUCAAACAUAAAAGGUGGCUUCGGCUACCACUUACAGAUGGACCCGCGGCGCAUUAGCUAGUUGGUGAGGUAAUGGCUCACCAAGGCAACGAUGCGUAGCCGACCUGAGAGGGUGAUCGGCCACACUGGGACUGAGACACGGCCCAGACUCCUACGGGAGGCAGCAGUAGGGAAUCUUCCGCAAUGGACGAAAGUCUGACGGAGCAACGCCGCGUGAGUGAUGAAGGUUUUCGGAUCGUAAAGCUCUGUUGUUAGGGAAGAA